rnacentral:rRNA from 1 species
GUGAGGAAUAUUGCGCAAUGGAGGCAACUCUGACGCAGCCAUGCCGCGUGCAGGAAGAAGGCGCUACGCGUUGUAAACUGCUUUUAACCGGGAAGAAACCCCAGGACGUGUCCUGGGUUGACGGUACCGGAGGAAUAAGCACCGGCUAACUUCGUGCCAGCAGCCGCGGUAAUACGAAGGGUGCAAGCGUUAUCCGGAUUCAUUGGGUUUAAAGGGUGCGUAGGCGGAUCGUUAAGGCAGUGGUGAAAUCCUGCAGCUUAACUGUAGACUUGCCAUUGAUACUGUCGCUCUUGAGUGCGCUUGAAGUGGGCGGAAUGUGCCGUGUAGCGGUGAAAUGCUUAGAUAUGGCACAGAACACCAAUUGCGAAGGCAGCUCACUAAGGCGAUACUGACGCUGAGGCACGAAAGCGUGGGGAUCGAACAGGAUUAGAUACCCGGGUAGUCCG